rnacentral:lncRNA from 1 species
CCUUUAGAAAGGAAUCCGCGACAUGAAUGUCACCCAGACGACAUCUCGCAGGAUGAUCUCACCUCUAACAUAGAAGGAGAAGAGACUGAAUCUCAAAGGAAUUGACGACAAGCAAGAAAUGCGGCAAAAGCAGAUCAUCGCUGCCGCCUUGCAUCUGACCUACCCAUCAUGAACUUGGACCACGCGUUUGAAGCAGUUCAAUCACGUCAACAUCACACUCCUCUCGCCACUAUUGC